rnacentral:rRNA from 1 species
CCUACGGGAGGCAGCAGUGGGGAAUAUUGGACAAUGGGGGGAACCCUGAUCCAGCCAUGCCGCGUGUGUGAAGAAGGCCCUCGGGUUGUAAAGCACUUUCAGUGAGGAAGAACGCCUGGUGGUUAAUACCCAUCAGGAAAGACAUCACUCACAGAAGAAGCACCGGCUAACUCCGUGCCAGCAGCCGCGGUAAUACGGAGGGUGCGAGCGUUAAUCGGAAUUACUGGGCGUAAAGCGCGCGUAGGUGGCUUGAUAAGCCGGUUGUGAAAGCCCCGGGCUCAACCUGGGAACGGCAUCCGGAACUGUCAAGCUAGAGUGCAGGAGAGGAAGGUAGAAUUCCCGGUGUAGCGGUGAAAUGCGUAGAGAUCGGGAGGAAUACCAGUGGCGAAGGCGGCCUUCUGGACUGAAACUGACGCUGAGGUGCGAAAGCGUGGGUAGCAAACAGGAUUAGAUACCCGAGUAGUC